CCCCGGAGUAGAAGCAGUCAGCGCCCCCAGGGUGCGGUCAUUGCUCCCCCA
rnacentral:ncRNA from 1 species